rnacentral:rRNA from 1 species
UGAAUACGAGACGCUAAGGCGUCGAAGUAGUGUAUGUCAUACUUCCAAGAAAAGCUUGCACUGUCAUAGAUAAAAAACGCCUGUACCAUAACCGACACAGGUGGGUAGGUAGAGUAUACUAAGGGGCGCGAGAUAACUCUCUCUAAGGAACUCGGCAAAAUAACUCCGUAACUUCGGGAGAAGGAGUGCCUUAUUCGUAAGGUUGCAAUAACAAGAUCCAAGCAACUGUUUAUCAAAAACACAGGUCUCCGCUAAGUCGUAAGACGAUGUAUGGGGGCUGACGCCUGCCCAGUGCCAGAAGGUUAAAGAAGUUGGUUAGCAAUUGCGAAGCUGAUAACUGAAGCCCUGGUGAACGGCGGCCGUAACGACAACGGUCCUAAGGUAGCGAAAUUCCUUGUCGGGUAAGUUCCGACCCGCACGAAAGGCGUAAUGAUUUGGAUACUGUCUCGGAGAGGGGCUCGGUGAAAUAGACUUGUCUGUGAAGAUGCGGACUACCUGCACCAGGACAGAAAGACCCUAUGAAGCUUUACUGUAACUUGAAAUUGAAAUUGGACUUUAUUCGCGCAGCAUAGGUGGGAGGCGUUGAUUAUAAUCUUGCGGGAUUAUUGGAGCCAUCAGUGAGAUACCACUCUUGUAAUGUUAGAUUUCUAACUUUGAAUCAUUAUCUGGUCAAAGAACAGUUUCAGGCGGGCAGUUUGACUGGGGCGGUCGCCUCCUAAACGGUAACGGAGGCGUACAAAGGUUUCCUCUGAACGGUUAGAAAUCGUAUCUAGAGUGUAAAGGCAUAAGGAAGCUUGACUGUGAGACCUACAAGUCGAGCAGGGACGAAAGUCGGUCUUAGUGAUCUGACGGUACUGAGUGGAAAGGCCGUCACUCAACGGAUAAAAGUUACUCUAGGAUAACAGGCUGAUCUCCCCCAAGAGUUCACAUCGACGGGGAGGUUUGGCACCUCGAUGUCGGCUCAUCGCAUCCUGGGGCGGUAGUACGUCCCAAGGGUUGGGCUGUUCGCCCAUGAAAGCGGUACGCGAGCUGGGUUCAGAACGUCGUGAGACAGUUCGGUCCAUAUCCGGUGUAGGCGUUAGAAUAUUGAGAGGAGCCUUCUUUAGUACGAGAGGACCGAGAAGGACAUACCUCUGGUGUACCAGUUAUCGUGCCAACGGUAAACGCUGGGUAGCUAUGUAUGGAGUGGAUAACCGCUGAAAGCAUCUAAGUGGGAAGCCCACCUCAAGAUAAGUAUUCUCC